GGGACACGUGGUAUCCUGUCUGAAUAUGGGGGGACCAUCCUCCAAGGCUAAAUACUCCUGACUGACCGAUAGUGAACCAGUACCGUGAGGGAAAGGCGAAAAGAACCCCGGCGAGGGGAGUGAAAAAGAACCUGAAACCGUGUACGUACAAGCAGUGGGAGCACGCUUAGGCGUGUGACUGCGUACCUUUUGUAUAAUGGGUCAGCGACUUAUAUUCUGUAGCAAGGUUAACCGAAUAGGGGAGCCGAAGGGAAACCGAGUCUUAACUGGGCGUUAAGUUGCAGGGUAUAGACCCGAAACCCGGUGAUCUAGCCAUGGGCAGGUUGAAGGUUGGGUAACACUAACUGGAGGACCGAACCGACUAAUGUUGAAAAAUUAGCGGAUGACUUGUGGCUGGGGGUGAAAGGCCAAUCAAACCGGGAGAUAGCUGGUUCUCCCCGAA
rnacentral:rRNA from 1 species